rnacentral:lncRNA from 1 species
UAUUUGUGUCCAUUCAAAUGCCAUUCACAUUUUUCUCCUUGCAAAUGCCAUUCACAUUCAAAUUCCAUUCAAAAUGCCAUUCACAUUUUUAUCCAUUCAAAUGUCAUUCACAUUCAAAUCCCAUUCUAUAUUUUUGUCCAUUCAAAUGCCAUUCACAUUCAAAUCCCAUUCAAUAAUUUGUCCAUUCAAAAUGCCAUUCACAUUCAAAUGCCAUUCACAUUUUUAUCCAUUCAAAUGCCAUUCACAUACAAAUUCCAUUCAAUAUUUUUGUCCAUUCAAAUGCCAUUCACCUGUACAAAUCAAAAUAACGCACCAACAUCGUAUCCUAAAAAAAUAAAGAUUAAAAAAAAAUACUAAAAUAGAUUCCAAGAUAUCCUAAAGACAUAAGGAAAUUGACUUUAGAAAUAAAACUAAAACAAUAAUGGGGAACAGAUUCAAAGAUAGCAUACAUAAACCUCGGGUGAACCUCAAAUCUACUGAAGAAUGCUCAAUCAUCUUUGCAGCAGUGGAGUACAAUUUUUUUUAAAUUUCAGAAACUUUCUAUAUUUUAGGUUGUAUUUGGAGAGAGAGAGGGGCAUAGAGGGAGAUUGAGAGAGUGGGGACCCAAAAAGAACUUGAUGGAGGUUAAUAGCAGAGGAGUCACAAAGGUUUGUUAAUCAUAAACUUCAUGCAUACUGACUAAAUCUUGGUGUGGUCUCAAUUCAUUCUUGAAGUUCAAUUGAAAUUGUAAUAUAUUAAUAAAUCUUGGUGUGGUCUCAAUUCAUUCUUAAAGUUCAAUUGAAGUUGUAAUAUAUUAAUAUUGUGUACAUAAUUGAUACGAACAUAGUUUUGUUGCUCUGUAUCCGUUCACAGGGACACAUUGAAUGACUGAAAAACCAAACCCCCCAAAACCAAAAUGGAACAAACAAAAUCAAAAUGCAAAGAUUAAACAAUAGCAUACCUGAACCUCGGAUGAACCUCAAUCUACAGAAGGUUGUCUCAAUCGUCUUUGCAGCGGCAAUAGAGCAUAGAAAAUUUGAGAAAUUUGAGAAAUUUUCAGUGUUCUAGGUUAUAUUUCUAGAGAGUGAGAGGGGCAUAGAGGGAAAUCAAGAGAGAGGGGCAGCGAGAGAUGUAUUGAGAGGGGCAGAGAGCGGUAGCCGGGAGAGAGAUUGAGAGAAAUGGGUGAGUUUCAAAGAGAUUGCCAGGGUUUAAGUGAUAGGCCAGUGAAGGAGCAGCAGGAGAGAGAGGUUCCUCAAGUUUGAUAGAGAGAGGGUAGGAGAAUGGCAGCAGGAGACAGAGGGGUAUAAGAAGGAGGAGAGAUAGAGGGUGGGAGAGUGGCAGCAGGAGAGAUGGAGAGGGGUGGAAGAUGGAGAAGAGUGAGAGAAGGUGGGAGAGUGGCAGCAGGAGAGAUGGAGAGGGGUGGAAGAUGGAGAAGAGUGAGAGAAGGUGGGAGAGUGGCAGCAUGAGAGGAAGAGUUAACGGAAAGAUUGAGAAGAGAGAAAGAGGGGUAACAGCAGAGAAGAGAGAUACCAUCGUCGUAUGAAGUCCAUAUACGCGAGGCGUAUGAAAUCCUUUUCAUAUAUAUAUAUAUAUAUAAUGACACUAUAAG